CAGUCUGCUACAAUGGAGACAGAAUCAUCUCAGCUUUUUACAUCACCAGUGACUUCAUAUGGCGAUGCAAAAUACAUUGUUUUUGAGCAAUGCCUCUUCAGCCUGUUCGAGAUCUGCCCUGUGUGCACAAGAACCUGUACAUUCCUGCCACGCAGAAGAGGGUCCUUCCUAGCGAUCGACCAACUAUGCCCUCACUGCAAGUUCUUCCGACAGUGGAAGAGUCAGCCAGUUAUUGGGAGCACCCCUGUGGGCAACCUUCAGCUGUCUGCUGCCAUUUACUUUUGUGGAGCUUCAUUUUCAAAGAUGAAAAAGAUAUUUGAUGCAAUGCAGCUGAGAACACACACGUAUGAUGCCUUCAGAAGACAUUGUGUACAGAAAUGGGUUUUGUUUAGUGAAAGUGUGAGAUCAGGCCUAAUUGCCAGCCAUCAAAAUGCAAAUCAUUACAGUUUUAGGCUGCUCUAACUGAAAGGCACUUGUAACAACACCGGUUAGAGUACAGCUUUGGCACAGCCUACAGGUUUAGCCAAUGCUUUUGCUGUGAGUUAAUAGUAGUAUUUUGCUUGGUGUGUGCUUACAAAAGUGACAAGUGACAAUUGUUACAACAUUUCUGCUGUUUCAUUUAGGUUGUACCUUGCAGCUAUGCAUUUCAAUGAGAAUGCUCAGCGCCUACAACGGAAGACAGCCAAGGGGAAACUAAUGUACAGGCUUGUGUUUCCAAAGGCCAAAAGGGGAGGUUACACGGUCAAAAAAGUGAAGACAGAGCCAACGAUUUGCUAUGUCUUUAACCUGAUAAGACUGGUGUUCGAAGAGAUCGUCCAUGACUCCCUUCGUUAUGUGGAUGCCGUCCAGCAGAUUCCUGUGCCCCAAGACUUGUGUGCUCAGCUUCCCAGACCUUCCAGGGAGGAUGCUGUCGCUGAGCAUGUGUCACGGUUCAGUCGAGGGGGGGUCUGAACCCGACAUACUGCCCUGAUGUUUCCGGAAACUCCCUCCGUAUGCGCAGCACCACACAAGAGGGGAUCACAACACGGACACUUCGCCCAAGGAAACCCCAGCACCAGCUCACGAAAGAUCUGUAGGCCAAGUGUCUGCAUUGCCUUCAGAGAAAUCAGAGUGGAAAGGCACACUUUUUUACUAUUUAUUUUUUGAAUAUUUUAUAUUUUUGAGUAUAGCACUGUAUGAUUGUGUUGAAACAAAAUAAAGUUUGUCAUUUUAC